AAGAUUUCUUAGAUAUAAUUAUAGAAUGACUAGAAUGGAAAAAUCACAAACCUCAAAAUAGCGUGAAAAUAAUUACUAUUUAUGCCCACGCGUGGCGUUAGUAUCGAUGACUCUCUGAAUCCAUGCAGACGUACGUCUCGAGAGUUGGUAACUCGAAGAACGAAGUAAAAGUUAGAAAGAAUGUGCGUUAAUCCAAAAUUGCAGUGUUUAGGAACUCGUAAGACAGUUGCUUGUGAAAACAGAAUCACAAAGAAAGUCCUCGUCCAACUAUCAAACAUCCGGCAAACGAAAUUCCUUUUAGCAUGGAACGUCCGCAAAUAUCUUGCAGAUAUUAUUUAGAACGCCUUCAACCGUCUUGACAAUUUUACUCGGGUCGCGAGAGAAAGAGAGAAAGAGAAUCCAGAGGAACUGGUACGACGAGGAUCUUUAGCUUCAGAGAACGAAGAAUUUUGAAAGUUUCAUCGACGACACGAGAGCCAAGGUGUUUCCACUUAAAUCGCGCGCUGCACGCCGUGUUUGCCUCUAUCAUUUUCAGAGUACCGUCUCUCAUUUCAGACGUCUUUGAGUAAGUUUUCCUUCUCCUCUCCUGGUCUGAAAACCUGGUCUUGAAGAGGUCCUACCGGCGUAACUGUGCAGUCGCUCACAAGAAGAAGGUCAGCUUAAUAGGCUGCCAGGUUACACAGCAAAACCGUUCCCCUUCGUAUGCGCGCCCCCUUAUUUGCUUGCGAAACGUUGCUCCCGAUCUUGAACCAUGGGAAAAUCGCUUGGCUUAUUUUUAGCUCGAAAAUUUAGGAAUCUCGAUUAACGUGAACGCUGAAUCGACGAAAUGCUUGAGUUCAUAGUUACGAAGAUAGGAAUUUGUAUUAUUGGUGCAAGUUGUGAUCUGUGACACGAAUCGAAGAAGUUUUAAUUGUUUGAAUCAUUGAUUGUUCUUGUGAUCAUAGUACAGAAUUGAGUAAAUUCUAAUAAAAUAAUUCUGAUAAAAUAUAAAAGAUAAUAUUGGCCAAGAUGCGCAAAACUAUGCUCGAUCGAUCAAACAGGAGUGUUAACUCGUUUCCAAACUCUUAAUUGUUCGAAUCGACUCGAAGAAACUUUUCUUUUUAAUUGA